rnacentral:rRNA from 1 species
AUACGGAAGGUCCGGGCGUUAUCCGGAUUUAUUGGGUUUAAAGGGAGCGCAGGCGGAGAUGCAAGCGUGACGUCAAAUUUCGGGGCUCAACCCCGUCUCGCGUCGCGAACUGCGUCCCUUGGUUGCGGGAAGGGGAGGCGGAACUCGUGGUGUAGCGGUGAAAUGCAUAGAUAUCACGAAGAACUCCGAUCGCGAAGGCAGCCUUCCGGCCCGUCAACGACGCUCAUGCUCGAAGGUGCGGGUAUCAAACAGGAUUAGAUACCCUGGUAGUCCGCACAGUAAACGAUGGACACCCGCGGUUUGGCCUGUAUGGCUGAGCCGCCGAGCGAAAGCGUUAAGUGUCCCACCUGGGGAGUACGCCGGCAACGGUGAAACUCAAAUGAAUUGACGGGG